rnacentral:lncRNA from 1 species
GGUUGCUAUCGGUUGGAAGGGGAAGAGGGAGGAGGAGGAAGGAAAGGGGGCUGUGGUCUGGGAGGGGAGAAGCAGGGGAUGGCACAGGCGGCGGCGAGGCAAAGAAGAGGGGAGGGAGAGGGCUGCAGCGAAGAGGGGAAGAGGCUGGCGGCGGGCGCGGGCGCGGAGGCUGUGGCGAAGGAGAGGAAGAGGGGAGGCAGGGAAAUACGGCGGCGGACGCACGCGAUCCAUCGGAAAGAAACAGUAAUGUCCCAAGAACAAAUUAGGCUUGGAUAUAUAGUUAAACUUCACUUUUUUUCUGCAGGAAUUCAGAGAUAAGCAUCACAAAUUUGGGGAAAAUGGAAGCAGGUAAUCAAGAAUCAUGACAAGAACAGAUUAUAAUUGUCAGAUCAUAUAUAUGAACGAAGUUUAAGGUAAUACAAAGAGAUAAAAUAAGAGGAAACAACCCUAGAAAUUCACAAUCCGCAACGAUGACACUAAUAAAGAUCGAAACGAAGGUAAAGAUGGAACGAAGUUGAAGGCAAUACAAAGAGAUGAGAUCGAGAGGAAACAACCCUAGAAAUUCACAAUCCGCAACGACGACACUAAUGAAGAUCGAAACGAAGGUAAAGAUGGAGAGGGAGAUGCUCACCUAAUUUGAGAGAACGGAAGCAGAUGGACGAAGAACGCAGCGUUGUGUCC